rnacentral:rRNA from 1 species
GGUUAAGCGACUAAGCGUACACGGUGGAUGCCCUGGCAGUCAGAGGCGAUGAAGGACGUGCUAAUCUGCGAAAAGCGCCGGCGAGGUGAUAUGAACCUUUGACCCGGCGAUGUCCGAAUGGGGAAACCCAGUGUGUUCCGACACACUAUCGUUAACUGAAUACAUAGGUUAACGAGGCGAACCGGGGGAACUGAAACAUCUAAGUACCCCGAGGAAAAGAAAUCAACCGAGAUUCCCCCAGUAGCGGCGAGCGAACGGGGAGCAGCCCAGAGUCUGAAUCAGCUUGUGUGUUAGUGGAAGCGUCUGGAAAGUCGCACGGUACAGGGUGACAGUCCCGUACACGAAAAUGCACAGGUUGUGAACUCGAAGAGUAGGGCGGGACACGUGGUAUCCUGUCUGAAUAUGGGGGGACCAUCCUCCAAGGCUAAAUACUCCUGACUGACCGAUAGUGAACCAGUACCGUGAGGGAAAGGCGAAAAGAACCCCGGCGAGGGGAGUGAAAUAGAACCUGAAACCGUGUACGUACAAGCAGUGGGAGCACCUUCGUGGUGUGACUGCGUACCUUUUGUAUAAUGGGUCAGCGACUUAUAUUCUGUAGCAAGGUUAACCGUAUAGGGGAGCCGAAGGGAAACCGAGUCUUAACUGGGCGUUAAGUUGCAGGGUAUAGACCCGAAACCCGGUGAUCUAGCCAUGGGCAGGUUGAAGGUUGGGUAACACUAACUGGAGGACCGAACCGACUAAUGUUGAAAAAUUAGCGGAUGACUUGUGGCUGGGGGUGAAAGGCCAAUCAAACCGGGAGAUAGCUGGUUCUCCCCGAAAGCUAUUUAGGUAGCGCCUCGUGAACUCAUCUUCGGGGGUAGAGCACUGUUUCGGCUAGGGGGCCAUCCCGGCUUACCAACCCGAUGCAAACUACGAAUACCGAAGAAUGUUAUCACGGGAGACACACGGCGGGUGCUAACGUCCGUCGUGAAGAGGGAAACAACCCAGACCGCCAGCUAAGGUCCCAAAGUCAUGGUUAAGUGGGAAACGAUGUGGGAAGGCACAGACAGCCAGGAUGUUGGCUUAGAAGCAGCCAUCAUUUAAAGAAAGCGUAAUAGCUCACUGGUCGAGUCGGCCUGCGCGGAAGAUGUAACGGGGCUAAACCAUGCACCGAAGCUGCGGCAGCGACGCGUAUGCGUUGUUGGGUAGGGGAGCGUUCUGUAAGCCGUUGAAGGUGUGCUGUGAGGCAUGCUGGAGGUAUCAGAAGUGCGAAUGCUGACAUAAGUAACGAUAAAGCGGGUGAAAAGCCCGCUCGCCGGAAGACCAAGGGUUCCUGUCCAACGUUAAUCGGGGCAGGGUGAGUCGACCCCUAAGGCGAGGCCGAAAGGCGUAGUCGAUGGGAAACAGGUUAAUAUUCCUGUACUUGGUGUUACUGCGAAGGGGGGACGAAGAAGGCUAUGUUAGCCGGGCGACGGUUGUCCCGGUUUAAGCAUGUAGGCGGAGGUUCCAGGUAAAUCCGGUACCUUUUAACGCUGAGGUGUGAUGACGAGGCACUACGGUGCUGAAGUAACAAAUGCCCUGCUUCCAGGAAAAGCCUCUAAGCAUCAGGUAACAUCAAAUCGUACCCCAAACCGACACAGGUGGUCAGGUAGAGAAUACCAAGGCGCUUGAGAGAACUCGGGUGAAGGAACUAGGCAAAAUGGUGCCGUAACUUCGGGAGAAGGCACGCUGAUAUGUAGGUGAAGCCCCUGCGGGUGGAGCUGAAAUCAGUCGAAGAUACCAGCUGGCUGCAACUGUUUAUUAAAAACACAGCACUGUGCAAACACGAAAGUGGACGUAUACGGUGUGACGCCUGCCCGGUGCCGGAAGGUUAAUUGAUGGGGUUAGCGGUAACGCGAAGCUCUUGAUCGAAGCCCCGGUAAACGGCGGCCGUAACUAUAACGGUCCUAAGGUAGCGAAAUUCCUUGUCGGGUAAGUUCCGACCUGCACGAAUGGCGUAAUGAUGGCCAGGCUGUCUCCACCCGAGACUCAGUGAAAUUGAACUCGCUGUGAAGAUGCAGUGUACCCGCGGCAAGACGGAAAGACCCCGUGAACCUUUACUAUAGCUUGACACUGAACACUGGUCCUUGAUGUGUAGGAUAGGUGGGAGGCUUUGAAGUGUGGACGCCAGUCUGCAUGGAGCCGUCCUUGAAAUACCACCCUUUAAUGGCUGGUGUUCUAACGUAGACCCGUGAUCCGGGUUGCGGACAGUGUCUGGUGGGUAGUUUGACUGGGGCGGUCUCCUCCCAAAGAGUAACGGAGGAGCACGAAGGUUAGCUAAUCCUGGUCGGACAUCAGGAGGUUAGUGCAAUGGCAUAAGCUAGCUUGACUGCGAGAGUGACGGCUCGAGCAGGUGCGAAAGCAGGUCAUAGUGAUCCGGUGGUUCUGAAUGGAAGGGCCAUCGCUCAACGGAUAAAAGGUACUCCGGGGAUAACAGGCUGAUACCGCCCAAGAGUUCAUAUCGACGGCGGUGUUUGGCACCUCGAUGUCGGCUCAUCACAUCCUGGGGCUGAAGUAGGUCCCAAGGGUAUGGCUGUUCGCCAUUUAAAGUGGUACGCGAGCUGGGUUUAGAACGUCGUGAGACAGUUCGGUCCCUAUCUGCCGUGGGCGCUGGAGAAUUGAGGGGGGCUGCUCCUAGUACGAGAGGACCGGAGUGGACGCAUCACUGGUGUUCGGGUUGUCAUGCCAAUGGCACUGCCCGGUAGCUAAAUGCGGAAAAGAUAAGUGCUGAAAGCAUCUAAGCACGAAACUUGCCCCGAGAUGAGUUCUCCCUGAGACUUUAAGUCUCCUGAAGGAACGUUGAAGACGACGACGUUGAUAGGUCGGGUGUGUAAGCGCAGCGAUGCGUUGAGCUAACCGAUACUAAUGAACCGUGAGGCUUAACCUU